AUACGUAGGGUGCGAGCGUUGUCCGGAAUUAUUGGGCGUAAAGAGCUUGUAGGCGGUUUGUCGCGUCUGCUGUGAAAAUUCGGGGCUUAACUCCGGACGUGCAGUGGGUACGGGCAGGCUAGAGUGUGGUAGGGGAGACUGGAAUUCCUGGUGUAGCGGUGAAAUGCGCAGAUAUCAGGAGGAACACCGAUGGCGAAGGCAGGUCUCUGGGCCAUAACUGACGCUGAGAAGCGAAAGCAUGGGGAGC
rnacentral:rRNA from 1 species